GUGCUGGACCGUGUACAAGUCUCCUGGAACGGAGCGUCAUAGAGGGUGAGAAUCCCGUCUUUGACACGGACUACCAGUGCUCUGUGAUGCGCUCUCAAAGAGUCGAGUUGUUUGGGAAUGCAGCUCAAAAUGGGUGGUGAAUUCCAUCUAAAGCUAAAUAUUGGCGAGAGACCGAUAGCGAACAAGUACCGUGAGGGAAAGAUGAAAAGCACUUUGGAAAGAGAGUUAAACAGUACGUGAAAUUGUUGAAAGGGAAACGCUUGAAGUCAGUCGCGUUCCUCGAGACUCAGCCUUGCCUUUCCGGCCUGGUGUACUUCUCGUUGAACGGGCCAGCAUCAAUUUUGACCGUCGGAUAAAGGCGAGGGGAAGGUGGCACCUUUCGGGGUGUGUUAUAGCCUCUCGUCACAUACGCCGGUUGGGAUUGAGGACCGCAGCACGCCUUUAAUGGUCGGGGUUCGCCCACGUUCGUGCUUGGGAUGCUGGCGUAAUGGCUUUAAACGACCCGUCUUGAAACACGGACCAAGGAGUCUAACAUGCCCGCGAGUGUUCGGGUGGAAAACCCGUGCGCGUAAUGAAAGUGAAAGUUGGGACCUCUGUCGUGGAGGGCACCGACGCCCGGACCAGACCUUCUGUGACGGAUCUGCGGUAGAGCGUGUAUGUUGGGACCCGAAAGAUGGUGAACUAUGCCUGAAUAGGGUGAAGCCAGAGGAAACUCUGGUGGAGGCUCGUAGCGAUUCUGACGUGCAAAUCGAUCGUCAA
rnacentral:rRNA from 1 species